rnacentral:misc_RNA from 1 species
GAUGAAGAACGUAGCGAAAUGCGAUACGUAAUGUGAAUUGCAGAAUUCAGUGAAUCAUCGAGUCUUUGAACGCACAUUCGCCCCCUGGUAUUCCGGGGGGCAUGCCUGUCCGAGCGUCAUUGCUGCCCUCAAGCACGGCUUGUGUGUUGGGCCUCCGUCCUCCUCCCGGGGGACGGGCCCGAAAGGCAGCGGCGGCACCGCGUCCGGUCCUCGAGCGUAUGGGGCUUCGUCACCCGCUCUUGUAGGCCCGGCCGGCGCUUGCCGACACAUCAAUCUUUUUUCCAGGUUGACCUCGGAUCAGGUAGGGAUACCCGCUGAACUUAAGCAUAUCAUAAGCGGAGGA